GCUUAACACAUGCAAGUCGAACGAUGAUGCCCAGCUUGCUGGGCGGAUUAGUGGCGAACGGGUGAGUAAUACGUGAGUAACCUGCCCUUCGACUCUGGGAUAAGCCUGGGAAACUGGGUCUAAUACUGGAUACUACCUCUUACCGCAUGGUGGGUGGUGGAAAGGGUUUUACUGGUUUUGGAUGGGCUCACGGCCUAUCAGCUUGUUGGUGGGGUAAUGGCUCACCAAGGCGACGACGGGUAGCCGGCCUGAGAGGGUGACCGGCCACACUGGGACUGAGACACGGCCCAGACUCCUACGGGAGGCAGCAGUGGGGAAUAUUGCACAAUGGGCGGAAGCCUGAUGCAGCGACGCCGCGUGAGGGAUGACGGCCUUCGGGUUGUAAACCUCUUUCAGUAGGGAAGAAGCGAGAGUGACGGUACCUGCAGAAGAAGCGCCGGCUAACUACGUGCCAGCAGCCGCGGUAAUACGUAGGGCGCAAGCGUUGUCCGGAAUUAUUGGGCGUAAAGAGCUCGUAGGCGGUUUGUCGCGUCUGCUGUGAAAGCCCGGGGCUCAACCCCGGGUCUGCAGUGGGUACGGGCAGACUAGAGUGCAUUAGGGGAGACUGGAAUUCCUGGUGUA
rnacentral:rRNA from 1 species